GAAAUGCGAUAAGUAAUGUGAAUUGCAGAAUUCAGUGAAUCAUCGAAUCUUUGAACGCACAUUGCGCCCGCCAGUAUUCUGGCGGGCAUGCCUGUUCGAGCGUCAUUUCAACCAUCAAGCCCCGCGCUUGUGUUGGGGACCUGCGGCUGCCGCAGGCCCUGAAAACCAGUGGCGGGCUCGCUGUCACACCGGGCGUAGUAGAUUUUAUCUCGCUCAGGGCGUGCUGCGGGUUCCUGCCGUUAAAAAGCCUUUUUUACCCAAGGUUGACCUCGGAUCAGGUAGGAAGACCCGCUGAACUUAAGC
rnacentral:misc_RNA from 1 species